CCCCACUCGCCUUUCUCCUCUCCCCUUUGUCUCUUUCGUUUCUUUCCAUCACCACCAUCACUUUCUCUCUCUACUCUCUCUCUACUUUCUCUCACUUCACUCCACACUCUCAAAAGCAGCGUCACUGCUCUCCGCCCUCCCCCGUCAGAGAAGAACCAGGUCGGGUCUCCUUUCCCGUCGCCUUUCCGGGUUCAGCUUUCGGUGGAGAGAGGAGGAGUGGGGGGGGCCGGUUUCCGGCGGCAAUGCUGCGAACUCCGGCUGGAAUCCGCCGCUCCUGAGCUGCUCCGGUGUGCCGUCGCGUCCGUCCAUCAUGGCGAAGAAUCUGGUGGUGCUGAGCCUCGCGCUCCUGCUGCUCUUCGGCGCGGCUUCCGCAGCCCCGGCCUCCUCGCCCGCGAAGAUUGUUCAUGGGAUCUUCUCGAACGUUGCGGCUUGGCUGAUGAAGUGGCUGUCGUCGGUGAGAGCUAACACCAAGACAGCCAUUUCUGGGCGUCCGAUGAUGAAGUUUGAGAGCGGAUACACGGUGGAGACGGUGUUCGAUGGGAGCAAGCUCGGCAUUGAGCCUCACUCUGUAGAAGUGUUGCCCAGUGGCGAGCUGCUUAUUCUGGACUCUGCUAACAGCAACCUCUACAGAAUGUCGUCAUCUCUCUCGUUAUACAGCAGACCAAAAUUGGUUGCGGGUUCACCUGAUGGACAUGCUGGGCAUGUAGAUGGAAGGCCCAGAGACGUUAAGAUGAACCACCCAAAAGGCCUUACUGUAGAUGACAAAGGGAACAUUUACAUUGCAGACACCAUGAAUAUGGCCAUCAGAAAAAUCAGUGAUUCAGGGGUUACAACAAUUGCAGGGGGAAAUGGGGGAAGGGAGGCGGCCAUGUUGAUGGCCCAAGUGAGGAUGCUAAGUUCUCUGAUGAUUUUGAUGUUGUCUACAUUGGAAGCAGUUGCUCCCUACUUGUCAUAGACAGAGGAAAUCGUGCUAUCAGGGAAAUUCAUCUCCAUUUUGAUGACUGUGCUUAUCAAUAUGGAAGUGGUUUUCCUCUCGGGUUUGCGGUACUUCUUGGAGCAGGUUUCUUCGGUUACAUGCUGGCUUUGCUUCAAUAUAGAGUGAGCACGAUUGUGUCAUCCCAAAAUGAUCACUCUGAACUGAAAGACAGUCCACCCAAUCCAUAUGAGAAGCCUUUGAAAUCAUUUAGGCAACCUCUAAUCUCAGGUGAAUAUGAACAGGAGAAGCAAGAAGAAGGGUUCUUUGGAUCCCUAUUUAAGCUCCUUUCGAGCACUAAAUCAUCUGCUCUGGACAUACUGGGAGGAGUUUUCCCUAGCCUGCGCAAGAAGUCAAUUAGCUAUCAGCCUCUGCACGAGCAGCAGUACUAUCAACCGCAAAAGCAUCCAAAUGCUUGGCCGGUGCAGGAGAGUUUCAUGAUACCAGAUGGAGAUGAGCCACCUUCAAUCGACACUAGAGAUCCAACUCCGAAGAAAACAUAUCCUUUCAUGUCCAAAGACGCGGAAAAGAUGCAUCAUCUGAGACAGAGUCGACCUUUCUACAACGGAUGGGAUGGAGAUCUCGGUCGCCAUCCACAGAAACAGCAGCAUCAUCACCGCUAUCAUUCAUCCAUCCCUCAUACGUACUACGAGCAGAGCCUCGAGAAAACUAACGAGAUAGUCUUCGGGGCAGUUCAAGAACAGGAGGCAAAGCGUGAAGCAACGGUAGUAAGGCCGGUCGAUUAUGGAAACCCAAUUUAUGAUCAUCACAACAUCCGCUCUCGAAUGAAUGCAAUGGCCUAUCGAGGUUAUUAAAUAAGGAAGAAAGGGAGCGGGCAUCUUCGAAUCAUGGUCUGGUCUUCUCACCUCUAUAUUGGCCUCCGGAAGUUUUGCCUGAAGGAGGUAUUGGGAUUGAUCAUAGCUAAAUAGGAGAAAAAAGAGUGGGGCACUGGAUUUUCGGAGGCGAAGCGCGUCGAUUAGGUUCAGUCAAAAUGUGUGUAAGCCAGUGUAAGGGUAAUAGCACUAUGAUGAAAUCUAUAUGUCGUGCAUUUGUCCUGGUGGAUGUCCUUUUCUUCUCAGUUAUAACGUGGCCGCUAUUCUAUA